UACGUAGGUGGCAAGCGAUACUCGGAAUCACUAGGCGUAAAGCGCAGGUAGGCGGUUUGGUAAGUCUUUUGUGAAAGCUCCCGGCUUAACUGGGAGAGGUCAAGGGAAACUACCGGACUAGAGUGUGGUAGGGGAUACUGGAGUUCCUGGUGUAGCGGUGAAAUGCGUAGAUAUCAGGAGGAAUACCUAUGGCGAAAGCAGGUAUCUGGGCCAUCACUGACGCUGAGCUGCGAAAGCUAGGGGAG
rnacentral:rRNA from 1 species